rnacentral:rRNA from 1 species
CAGUCGCCGCGGUAAAACGAAGGGUGCAAGCGUUAAUCGGAAUUACUGGGCGUAAAGCGUGCGUAGGCGGUUUGUUAAGUCUGCUGUGAAAUCCCCUGGCUCAACCUGGGAAUGGCAGUGGAUACUGGCAAGCUAGAGUGUGUCAGAGGAUGGUGGAAUUCCCGGUGUAGCGGUGAAAUGCGUAGAGAUCGGGAGGAACAUCAGUGGCGAAGGCGGCCAUCUGGGACAACACUGACGCUGAGGCACGAAAGCGUGGGGAGCAAACAGGAUUAGAUACCCCAGUAGUCCCUGUCUCUUAUAC